rnacentral:misc_RNA from 1 species
AACGCACGAGACCUGCGGACCUGCGGAAGGAUCAUUACCGAGUUUACAACUCCCAAACCCAUGUGAACAUACCUAUCGUUGCUUCGGCGGGAUCGCCCCGGGCGCCUUGUGUGCCCCGGAUCCAGGCACCCGCCGGGGGACCUUAACUCUUGUUUUAUUUAGAAUCUUCUGAGUAGUUUUUACAAAUAAAUAAAAACUUUCAACAACGGAUCUCU